UUGGCAGGAGAAUGCCAUGUGAAGCACUUUGAAGAAAAUUUCAGAUUUUAGCAGCAAGGUGGCCUGGUGUAACACAGUUGUCCGUCUGAGUUCAAUUCUCAGUAUCAUGAGAAGCACUGCCACUGCCCACAAGGAGUCUGUAUCACAAGUUUACUACCAAUGCAAUCAGCUCACUUUUGCACAGGUUGCAUUUGGUUUAGAAGAUCUUACCUCAGCAUACAGGAAUAUCAGAAGUAUCAAACAUCCACAAUAUAGGAAAUUCUUGAUUUCGUCAAUGACAUCUGCCGACCACCUCUUCCUUUCUAGUCUGAGAAUUUCUUUGUUUGAUAAUAAGUUAAGAAUGUAGCAUUCUUAUUAAAGAGAGGUCAAUUGCUAAAUAAGGUUCUCUGUGAUAUACCUUUUACAUUACAAAUGAUAUUUAGUCUCGGGUAAUGGGUAUGUCCUAGGUAAAUUGGUAAAUCAAAUUUGUUGGUCCAAAAAAAUUCCUAGUCUUAUUAUAAAGGAAUUUUUUUACAAGUCUUCGACUGGAGGGCAGUGAAGAAGUAUAACUUUCUUGGUAAUGACUAAUGACCCAGUUUCUAUCCAUUCAUUCUUAAAAAAUGGUAAUACCACUAGCUGGCUGUGGUUUCGGACUUUCUCGACUUUGGAUAAGAAACAAGAAACUUGACACAUCACGUAACCGACCAAUGUGGUUGCUUGUUUCUAUCAAAGCCAACAGGCAUUUCUUCUUCAAGCGUGCCUGUACUGUGUGCAUGCUUCUUAUAUAAAUAUCGACCAUGCCUUACCUAGUUCCUAUCUUAAAAACAAUCCCAAGUUUCAGAACAAUAUCUCACUCUCUAAUUUCGGGAAGUACUUGAAGUUGAAGAUUUCUCUAUCUUUGAUCUAUACUUGUUGGAGAUUUCGAGUCAUGUCUGCGCUGGUGGAGAUGUGGAGUAAUGAGACCAAGGAGCAGAGCGAGAAGGAUCAAACCCUUUCGUCGAAUGCCUCGGCCUCAUCAAGCACUAAUGUUGGGGUUAAUCAAGCCAAAGGAAGGACUCGUUAGCUCCUGUUUUCGACAGAGUCUUGCGUGUCAACUCACUUUUGACACACUAUUCGUCUGAAGCCUCAGUUUCCAUACUUCUAGAGUGGUUUAAGGGCUAAACGAUGGGUAAUUGUGUCAAUUUAUUUCUUCAGCUUUUUGCUUAUUAUCUUUUUCUUUGCUUGACUUUCAAAUCAAUGACAAUGCUAGGGUUUGUAACAAUGAAAGUACAUGUGAUAAAUUUAAGACCCCAUAGGACGUCUCAGUACGUGUACGUGAUAUUGUCGAAUUAUUGACUUGAGAAAACCAUUCACUACU